AGGAUGAAGGAAAGUUAGGGUAGUUCAUGCAUAGUUUUCAAAAAUUUUUCUUACAACAGAAGCAAACUAGAUUAAACUAUUUAAUCUACCAUGCACUAGAUCUAGUCUAUAACUGCCUAAGUAUGGAUCUCAUGACAUAAAACAUGCAUGCAUGGUCUGAAAAUAUAUCUAAAAUAUUAGAUCUAAUCUACUAGAUGAUAGAAAUCUGAUCUCUAUACCUUUGCGUGGGUUGUUAUUCACCACGAUAGAAAUUUGAGGGGUUGUAUAUUGCUCCUAGCUGCACAUGCAUCCGACCUCUAUGAAAGUCUACACGAAGUUGGAUCUGAUCGAUCUUUCGGGGAUGCUAGCUUGCAUAGAGAACCUAUUGUUGGCUGAUC
rnacentral:lncRNA from 1 species